rnacentral:lncRNA from 1 species
GGCCAACAACAGUCAGAGUAUGGAUGGGUGGGUGGAACCAGAAGAGGGCAUCGCCUUUGCAAGCUUUGAGCACGUGUAGCUGAGUAUCUGUGAUGGUAGUAUACUAGGAUGUUAUCCAAAGGGGACCCUUGGGGAAGGGUAGAGGAGAGAGUCCGUUGGCCUUCUGGGCAGAAGACCUGGCCUCAGUUCAGGACAGGACUGUUUUCACACCCGUGCUGGUGACUGGAUGAGACCACCUAUGACACUGCUUUGUCCGCUUCGAAGUCACAAGUACAGUUAUUAGCGUCCUGGUUUUGAGUGGAUCCCAGGAGUAUGUGUGACCCAAACCUGCUCACAGUGACCACCCCACGGCAGGAUGACAUCAGAUUGUGGUGUAUGGAGAAGCAGCUCCCACAGAAAGCCCAGCCUUAGGACAGAGCCACAGGCGGCAAAGCUGAAGUUGCAGCCUGGGCUUGUGUUUUCCCUGGCAUUAGAUCAUCACUAAAACUUAAAAUCCACCUUUCG